AACGCAACUUGCGCCUCUCUGAGGCAUGUCUGUUUGAGUGUCGUAUUCAAAAUAUAAUUGACGUUUUUGCGCAUGCAAAUUGUUUAAACUGAGCUCGACACCAAUUCACUGGAAUUGAGUGGAUUAGAAUGCCAAGCAUCAUCUGAUUCACUCUCUUUCAUUCGUACCGACCUCAAAUCAGGCAAGAUUACCCGCUGAACUUAA
rnacentral:misc_RNA from 1 species